GCCCUUAGAGUUUGAUCCUGGCUCAGAAUCAACGCUGGCGGCGUGCCUAACACAUGCAAGUCGAACGAGAAAGGGUAGCAAUACCUGAGUAAAGUGGCGCACGGGUGAGUAACACGUGACUAACCUACCCUGGAGUGGGGAAUAACUGAGGGAAACCUUAGCUAAUACCGCAUAACACCUACGGGUCAAAGGAGCAAUUCGCUUCAGGAGGGGGUCGCGGCCGAUUAGUUAGUUGGCGGGGUAAUGGCCCACCAAGACGAUGAUCGGUAUCCGGCCUGAGAGGGCGCACGGACACACUGGAACUGAAACACGGUCCAGACUCCUACGGGAGGCAGCAGUGGGGAAUUUUGCGCAAUGGGGGAAACCCUGACGCAGCAACGCCGCGUGGAGGAUGAAGUACUUCGGUACGUAAACUCCUUUCGAUCGGGACGAUUAUGACGGUACCGAGAGAAGAAGCCCCGGCUAACUUCGUGCCAGCAGCCGCGGUAAUACGAGGGGGGCGAGCGUUGUUCGGAAUUAUUGGGCGUAAAGGGUGCGUAGGCGGUUUGGUAAGUCUGAUGUGAAAUCUAUGGGCUCAACUCAUAGUCUGCAUCGGAAACUGCCGGGCUUGAGUGUGGGAGAGGUGAGUGGAAUUCCUGGUGUAGCGGUGAAAUGCGUAGAUAUCAGGAGGAACACCUGUGGCGAAAGCGGCUCACUGGACCAUAACUGACGCUGAUGCACGAAAGCUAGGGGAGCAAACAGGAUUAGAUACCCUGGUAGUCCUAGCCCUAAACGAUGACUGCUUGGUGUGACGGGUACCCAAUCCCGCCGUGCCGUAGCUAACGCGUUAAGCAGUCCGCCUGGGGAGUACGGUCGCAAGGCUGAAACUCAAAUGAAUUGACGGGGAAGGGC
rnacentral:rRNA from 1 species